AUAUACAUGCCAAGUAAACCAUGUAUACUUGUCGUUAUUGAAAUGACAGGUUUGAGUUAUGAUAAAUUGUGUAACUGGACAUCAUUCCCCCUUUGACCUUGUGUUUGUGUUAUGCUAAAAUUGGAACUCUCUAAUGGAGUUCAGCUGAGAAAGAUUUGGGAAAUAGAAUCGGGAGAGAAAAUAGAAACGAAUUAGGAAUCUAUUUGAUCAAUGAGCCGUACUAAUUCCAGUUCAAUUAUAAAUCAAAAUUUUUAGGGUUUGUUCAAAAUUUACAGCCAAUUAAUCAUAUUCACCUAAAUUAAACAACAGAAGAAGAUAAAAGAGUAAGGGUGAGUCUUCAGAUGCUUACCCAGCGAGAAGAAGAUGAGAUGACGCCACGACGUGAAGAAUCACAGCGGUGGUGGUGGUGGUGGUGGUGGUGGGUAGUGGUGGUGGUGGAGACUAAUAAAAAUAGAGAGGGAGAAGAGUUGAGAGAGAGAGAGAGAUGGAGUUUUGGUUGCGGUGGUGAGGGUGAGAAAGAGAGAUCAUGUUUUGGUUGCGGCCGCCAUGAUCGAGAGAGAGAGAUCGAGUUUUGGUUGUGUUUUCGUUGUGUUAUAUAGUCUGGCGAAUAAUCUUUAGCGAAUUCACGGUGAAUGAAAAAACACCUAUUUAAGGUGGGCGAAAAAAUGGUGGAUUCGCCGAGUUUUUUUGGUGAAUGGGUGUAUUUUGACCAAAAAAUCCGGUGUAUAGAUAGUUGACUCCAAAUACGCCAAAUUCUCCGAAACUUUAUCAAACAUCAACAAAUACGGUGAAACGCGGAGAAUCAGCUAUUCCCCACGGCGAACCGGUUAUCAAACAGGCCCUAAGAUGCUUCAGUUUUGGGCAAAAGAAACUUAUUACUUCAAACUGAUGGCAUGUAUAAAAACCAUCACCCACAUCAAGCUCUUCCAAUAGAGGAAGCCUUUUAAUAAUUUCAUAAAAUCCAUUCAAACUAUAGCCAACCUCCAUUCCUAUCCGAAGAGACUUCAACGAAUUUGGUUUACUAACAACUUGGAGUAAAAGCUCCUGAGUAAGGAAAUUUUCAAAUGAGAGUUUCACCAGUUGCCCACAACUUCUAACUAUUGCUUCCUUGAAAAACAUAUCAAACUUACGCAAGCCAGUAGCAUCAUUACAACAAUGAAAAUGAUGUUGAUGAUGUGGGACAAUUAUAGCGUGAAAAAGAUGAGGCUCUUUGGCAAGUUUUUGCCACAAGGAACAAACAUAUUGGGCAUUCAGUAUAAUUUCAGCUGGCCCAAGCUUCAUAAAGAUCAAUAGCAUAACAUCUGUAGGCAAAUCAAGCCAAUUCCUCACUUCUUUCUUUGUGGUUUUUCUUCUUUUGUUCUUUGUCAAUUGAUGACCAAAAGUAUUAUUCCUUCUUUUACUCAUUGUUAUUCUCAGUAAAAACGUGAGGUUACCCUUAAAACAGGUUGUCGUGAAACAACGUACAAGUUCCUGCAAAGAUCAAGAGUAAUAACAAUGAAUGAAGCAAUAUUAAAAACUAAAAUCACCACGUUUUCAUGUAAACUAACGGAAAAAAAAAAUGCUGGGGAGGCUUUAAAUUGGAACCAAUUUAGACA
rnacentral:lncRNA from 1 species